AUUGAACGCUGGCGGCAUGCCUUACACAUGCAAGUCGAACGGCAGCACGGGAGCAAUCCUGGUGGCGAGUGGCGAACGGGUGAGUAAUAUAUCGGAACGUGCCCAGUCGUGGGGGAUAACGCAGCGAAAGCUGUGCUAAUACCGCACACGAUCUAUGGAUGAAAGCGGGGGAUCGCAAGACCUCGCGCGAUUGGAGCGGCCGAUAUCAGAUUAGCUAGUUGGUGAGGUAAAGGCUCACCAAGGCGACGAUCUGUAGCUGGUCUGAGAGGACGACCAGCCACACUGGAACUGAGACACGGUCCAGACUCCUACGGGAGGCAGCAGUGGGGGAUUUUGGACAAUGGGCGAAAGCCUGAUCCAGCAAUGCCGCGUGCAGGAUGAAGGCCUUCGGGUUGUAAACUGCUUUUGUACGGAACGAAACGGUGAGCUCUAAUACAGUUUGCUAAUGACGGUACCGUAAGAAUAAGCACCGGCUAACUACGUGCCAGCCGCCGCAGUAA
rnacentral:rRNA from 1 species